CUUACAGAAAACCGCAGCCAAAUAACACUAGACCUUACUCAUAGUGUUGUGUUCCUGCCGGUGAGUAAGGUUGCCAGAGCUUAACGAGGGUGCGGAGCGCUUCCAUAGGCUACGGUGACUGCUUACCAUCAGGCGGGCCGUAUGCUUGUUUGCCACCGACGUAGUAAAAUAAA